rnacentral:rRNA from 1 species
AUAACACAUGCAAGUCGAACGAUGAAGGAGUCUUCGGACCGCGGAAGAGUGGCGAACGGGUGAGGAACACGUAAGAAUCUGCCCCUCGGUCGGGGACAACUCUUGGAAACGAGAGCUAAUACCCGAUACGCUGUGGAGUGAAAGAAUUUCGCCGAGGGAUGAUCUUGCGUCUGAUUAGCUAGUUGGUGUGGUAACUGCACACCAAGGCGACGAUGCGUAGCCGGCCUGAGAGGGUGACCGGCCACACUGGGACUGAGACACGGCCCAGACUCC